rnacentral:rRNA from 1 species
GUAAUCGAACUCUUACACAAUAUGAAGGCGGGCUGGAACCUCUCGGGGUUACAGCCUUGCUGAAUUAUUCACCCUUGUCUUUUGCGUACUUCUUGUUUCCUUGGUGGGUUCGCCCACCACUAGGACAAACAUAAACCUUUUGUAAUUGCAAUCAGCGUCAGUAACAAAUUAAUAAUUACAACUUUCAACAACGGAUCUCUUGGUUCUGGCAUCGAUGAAGAACGCAGCGAAAUGCGAUAAGUAGUGUGAAUUGCAGAAUUCAGUGAAUCAUCGAAUCUUUGAACGCACAUUGCGCCCUUUGGUAUUCCAAAGGGCAUGCCUGUUCGAGCGUCAUUUGUACCCUCAAGCUUUGCUUGGUGUUGGGCGUCUUGUCUCUAGCUUUGCUGGAGACUCGCCUUAAAGUAAUUGGCAGCCGGCCUACUGGUUUCGGAGCGCAGCACAAGUCGCACUCUCUAUCAGCAAAGGUCUAGCAUCCAUUAAGCCUUUUUUUCAACUUUUGACCUCGGAUCAGGUAGGGAUACCCGCUGAACUUAAGCAUAUCAAAAGCCGGGAGGAAA